rnacentral:rRNA from 1 species
CCUGCACUUCGGGAUAAGCCUGGGAAACUGGGUCUAAUACCGGAUAUGACCAAAGGCUGCAUGGCUUUUGGUGGAAAGGUUUACUGGUGCAGGAUGGGCCCGCGGCCUAUCAGCUUGUUGGUGGGGUAAUGGCCUACCAAGGCGACGACGGGUAGCCGACCUGAGAGGGUGACCGGCCACACUGGGACUGAGACACGGCCCAGACUCCUACGGGAGGCAGCAGUGGGGAAUAUUGCACAAUGGGCGAAAGCCUGAUGCAGCGACGCCGCGUGAGGGAUGACGGCCUUCGGGUUGUAAACCUCUUUCAGCAGGGACGAAGCGAAAGUGACGGUACCUGCAGAA